ensembl:lncRNA
CCACCCACCAUCCUGACCCUCCUAGAAGGUACACCAUACCACAGCACCCGACAUAGCUGACCACCCACCAUCCUGACCCUCCUAGAAGGUACAACAUACCACAGCAUCCACUAUACUGACCAUCCUGACCCUCCUAGAAGGUACAGCAUACCACAGCACCCCUAUACUGACCAUCCUGACCCUCCUAGAAGGUACAUCAUACCACAGCACCCACUAUACUGACCCUCCUAGAAGGUACAACAUACCACAGCAUCCACUAUACUGACCAUCCUGACCCUCCUAGAUGGUACAACAUACCACAGCACCCACUAUACUGACCCUCCUAGAAGGUACAACAUACCACAGCACCCACUAUACUGACCAUCCUAGAAGGUACAACAUACCACAGCACCCACUAUACUGACCCUCCACUAUACUGACCCUCCUAGAAGGUACAACAUACCACAGCACCCACUAUACUGACCCUCCUAGAAGGUACAACAUACCACAGCACCCAAUAUAACUGACCAUCCACUAUACUGACCCUCCUAGAAGGUACAACAUACCACAGCACCCACUAUACUGACCAUCCUGACCCUCCUAGAAGGUACAACAUACCACAGCACCCACUAUACUGACCAUCCAGACCCUCCUAGAAUGUACAACAUACCACAGCACCCACUAUAACUGACCACCCACCAUCCUGACCCUCCUAGAAGGUACACCAUACCACAGCACCCACUAUACUGACCCUCCUAGAAGGUACACCAUACCACAGCACCCACUAUACUGACCCUCCUAGAAGGUACAACAUACCACAGCACCCACUAUAACUGACCCUCCUAGAAGGUACAACAUACCACAGCACCCACUAUACUGACCCUCCUAGAAGGUACAACAUACCACAGCACCCACUAUAACUGACCCUCCUAGAAGGUACAACAUACCACAGCACCCACUAUACUGACCCUCCUAGAAGGUACAACAUACCACAGCACCCACUAUACUGAGCCUCCUAGAAGGUACAACAUACCACAGCACCCACUAUACUGACCCUCCUAGAAGGUACAACAUACCACAGCACCCACUAUACUGACCCUCCUAGAAGGUACAACAUACCACAGCACC